rnacentral:rRNA from 1 species
AGUUGGAAACGACUGCUAAUACCGCAUAAGCCCACGGCUCGGCAUCGAGCAGAGGGAAAAGGAGUGAUCCGCUUUGAGAUGGCCUCGCGUCCGAUUAGCUGGUUGGUGAGGUAAUGGCCCACCAAGGCGACGAUCGGUAGCCGGACUGAGAGGUUGAACGGCCACAUUGGGACUGAGACACGGCCCAGACUCCUACGGGAGGCAGCAGUGGGGAAUAUUGCACAAUGGGGGAAACCCUGAUGCAGCGACGCCGCGUGGAGGAAGAAGGUCUUCGGAUUGUAAACUCCUGUUGUUGAGGAAGAUAAUGACGGUACUCAACAAGGAAGUGACGGCUAACUACGUGCCAGCAGCCGCGGUAAAACGUAGGUCACAAGCGUUGUCCGGAAUUACUGGGUGUAAAGGGAGCGCAGGCGGGAGGACAAGUUGGAAGUGAAAUCCAUGGGCUCAACCCAUGAACUGCUUUCAAAACUGCUUUUCUUGAGUAGUGCAGAGGUAGGCGGAAUUCCCGGUGUAGCGGUGGAAUGCGUAGAUAUCGGGAGGAACACCAGUGGCGAAGGCGGCCUACUGGGCACCAACUGACGCUGAGGCUCGAAAGUGUGGGUAGCAAACAGGAUUAGAUACCCU